GAGUUUGAUCAUGGCUCAGAUUGAACGCUGGCGGUAGGCUUAACACAUGCAAGUCGUGCGAGAAAGUAUCUUCGGAUAUGAGUAGAGCGGCGGACGGGUGAGUAACGCGUAGGAAUCUACCUAGUAGAAGGGGAUAGCCCGGGGAAACUCGGAUUAAUACCGUAUACCUCCUUCGGGAGAAAGAAGGCCUCUCUUUGAAGCUUUCGCUAUUAGAUGAGCCUGCGUAAGAUUAGCUUGUUGGUGAGGUAAAGGCUCACCAAGGCGACGAUCUUUAGCGGGUCUGAGAGGACGAUCCGCCACAUUGGGACUGAGACACGGCCCAGACUCCUACGGGAGGCAGCAGUGGGGAAUAUUGGACAAUGGGCGCAAGCCUGAUCCAGCCAUACCGCGUGUGUGAAGAAGGCCCUAGGGUUGUAAAGCACUUUAAGUUGGGAAGAAAAGUUAUUGGUUAAUACCCAAUAACCGUGACAUUACCAUCAGAAUAAGGACCGGCUAAUUCCGUGCCAGCAGCCGCGGUAAUACGGAAGGUCCAAGCGUUAAUCGGAAUUACUGGGCGUAAAGCGCGCGUAGGUGGUUUAUUAAGUUGGAUGUGAAAUCCCCGGGCUCAACCUGGGAACUGCAUCCAAAACUGAUUCACUAGAGUACGAUAGAGGGAGGUAGAAUUCACAGUGUAGCGGUGGAAUGCGUAGAUAUUGUGAAGAAUACCAAUGGCGAAAGCAGCCUCCUGGAUCUGUACUGACACUGAGGUGCGAAAGCGUGGGUAGCGAACAGGAUUAGAUACCCUGUAGUCCACGCCGUAAACGAUGUCAACUAGCUGUUGGAAAACUAUGUUUUUCAGUGGCGCAGCUAACGUAGUAAGUUGA
rnacentral:rRNA from 1 species